ensembl:lncRNA
CCUACUGGGGCCUAAGAUGAUGCAGAUUGCACGGGGUGGAGUUAGAGUUGAUAAACACAGAGGACUGGAGAAGAGUGAUUGUUUUGAGUAGAGAGCGGCAGUCUGUUAUGACAUUAUAAUGGUUAUAAUGGCAAUGCUUGGAACAGGCUGCAUAUUUAGCUAGAAUCUAUUUUGCAGCAGAAACGGAUGGCUUGUAAAUCAGCUGAUUUGCGGCGCUCCGGGGAAAGAGGGAGUGUGGAUGUGCUCUCUCAUUUGUCAUUGUCAUGUAGUGUGGCCAAUGUGCAAUUUUUAAUGAGAUCCAAAGGCAAAACACACACAGAUGCAUAAACGUGCAACAUAAACACCCAAAUGCAAAUGGUCACAAUAACACUAUAAAGAGCACAGCAUUUAUUGGAAACAUUCCCUGAAAAGUCCUUUGCUAGGACAGUUGGCACUUUUAAAAUAUUAAUGGGUUAUAUGAUAGCACACUGGUAUUUCGAAGUCACUCAGUCCACUGUUGACCUCAUAACCCAUGUGCCCCUGUGCCAAACGCUCUGCUGCCAUUGAUAUACAAUAGUUUCAUAAAUGACACUUUUUGUUUUAAUUAGUUGUGUUAAGGCAUCCAUCACUAAUGUCUAAGUUUAGGGGUUUUCAAAGAUUUUUCUAUUUUUGAUUUUUUUUGUUCAGAUUUGAUUUGCUUUGUUUGGUUUAUGUUACAGGUUUAUUGAUUGAUUGCUUGUCUUUUGGUUAAUUUUUUGCUUUACUUUGUUUAGAUUUUUCUUCUGCUUUGCUUUGUUUUGUUUAUGGCAUGGUAUUUAUUUUUAAUGUAUGUAUGUUUUGUCUUUGUUUUUGCUUUGUUUCUUAAUUUGUUUAUUUGAUUUGUUUUCUUUUGCUUUGAUUUGGUUUUAUUUAUUCUUUGGUUUGUUUUGUUUGUUUGCUUUGUUUUGGCUUGUUUCUUCUUUUUUUUUCUUUUGCUUUGCUUUGGUUUGGUUCAUUUGUUUGCUUUGUUUAUGACAGUAUGUAUAUAUGUAUGUAUGUUUUGUCCUUUGGUUAGUUUUUUGCUUUGUUUUUUGAUUUGUUUCCUUUUGCUUUACGUUUUUGAAAUUGUGUCCUAUUAUUUUAUAGUUUUGCUUUGAUCUGUUUAUUAUUUUAUCCAUUGACAAUAUACAGAUGGGCCCCUGUUUGCUGACCUGGCAUUAUGCUUCCUCAUUUAUUUUCACACUGUGGUUGCACUUGCUUGUUAUGGGUUUUCAAGAUAUGUGAGAUUGUGACAUCUGGUAAUACUUCUCUGAUAGUGCUCUUUUUUUUUUUGUAAAUGUGUGUGUGUGUGUGUGUGUGAACACAGGGAGGCCAUCAACAGGUUGUGUGAAACUGUACCUGGAGGAAAAACUGCCUGGAAGAAGAAAGUAAGAGAGAAAACUGUAGUUUUGGCCUUG